GGGCUCUUAGUUCAGCUUGGCAGAACGUCUCCUUGGCAGGGAGAAGGCCCAGGGUUCAAAUCCCUGAGAGUCCA
rnacentral:tRNA from 1 species